AGACCUACUGCUAUGCACAUUUCUCAGUCUGAAAUGCUAAUCCUCUUGGGCUUUGGUGACACACGUGCAGGAGCUCUGCCACAUAAAUCCGCCCGGGUCCAUUCCCCAUCAACUGGUGCCACUGAAGGCUAGGGGAGCAAAUAAACCUUAAGAAGAUCAUCCACCUUGUCUGAAAUCCAGAGCUCCUGGGUUUCCUGGUGGGUUCUCAGUGCUGGAAAAGUUACAGUGGGACAAACAGAAACCGAAGUUUCUCAGACGUGGCACCUCAGCUCUCUG